AGACUAUGAUGUGUAGCCGGGUGAGAGGUUGAACGGCCACAUUGGGACUGAGACACGGCCCAAACUCCUACGGGAGGCAGCAGUAGGGAAUUUUCGGCAAUGGAGGAAACUCUGACCGAGCAACGCCGCGUGAACGAUGAAGUAUUUCGGUACGUAAAGUUCUUUUAUUAGGGAAGAAUAAAUGAUGGAAAAAUCAUUCUGACGGUACCUAAUGAAUAAGCCCCGGCUAACUAUGUGCCAGCAGCCGCGGUAAUACAUAGGGGGCAAGCGUUAUCCGGAAUUAUUGGGCGUAAAGGGUGCGUAGGCGGUUAAAUAAGUUUAUGGUCUAAGUGCAAUGCUCAACAUUGUGAUGCUAUAAAAACUGUUUAGCUAGAGUAAGAUAGAGGCAAGUGGAAUUCCAUGUGUAGUGGUAAAAUGCGUAAAUAUAUGGAGGAACACCAGUAGCGAAGGCGGCUUGCUGGGUCUUUACUGAGCUGAGGCACGAAAGCGUGGGGAGCAAACAGGAUUAGAUACCCUGGUAGUCCACGCCGUAAACGAUGAGUACUAAACGUUGGGUAAAACCAGUGUUGAAGUUAACACAUUAAGUACUCCGCCUGAGUAGUACGUACGCAAGUAUGAAACUUAAAGGAAUUGACGGGACUCCGCACAAGCGGUGGAUCAUGUUGUUUAAUUCGAAGGUACCCGAAAAACCUCACCAGGUCUUGACAUGCUUCUGCAAAGCUGUAGAAACACAGUGGAGGUUAUCAGUUGCACAGGUGGUGCAUGGUGUCGUCAGCUCGUGUCGUGAGAUGUUGGGUUAAGUCCCGCAACGAGCGCAACCCUUAUUGUUAGUUACCAGCACUAAUGGUGGGGACUUUAGCAAGACUGCCAGUGAUAAAUUGGAGGAAGGUGGGGACGACGUCAAAUCAUCAUGCCCCUUAUGAC
rnacentral:rRNA from 1 species